UAACUGAAGAGUUUGAUCAUGGCUCAGAUUGAACGCUGGCGGCAGGCCUAAGACAUGCAAGUCGAACGGUAACGACACUAGCUUGCUAGUGGUCGACGAGUGGCGGACGGGUGAGUAACGCGUAGGAAUCUACCUAGUAGUGGGGGAUAGCCAAGGGAAACUUUGGGUAAUACCGCAUACGAUCUAAGGAUGAAAGGGGGCCUCUCUUUGAAGCUCUCGCUAUUAGAUGAGCCUGCGUAAGAUUAGCUUGUUGGUGGGGUAAUAGCCCACCAAGGCGACGAUCUUUAGCUGGUCUGAGAGGAUGAUCAGUCACACUGGAACUGAGACACGGUCCAGACUCCUACGGGAGGCAGCAGUCGGGAAUAUUGGACAAUGGGGGAAACCCUGAUCCAGCCAUGCCGCGUGUGUGAAGAAGGCCCUAGGGUUGUAAAGCACUUUUAGUAGUGAGGAAGGCUCAGUAGUUAAUACCUGCUGGGAUUGACGUUAGCUACAGAAAAAGCACCGGCUAAUUUCGUGCCAGCAGCCGCGGUAAUACGAAAGGUGCAAGCGUUAAUCGGAAUUACUGGGCGUAAAGCGCGCGUAGGCGGCUUGGUAAGUUGGAUGUGAAAGCCCCGGGCUCAACCUGGGAACUGCAUCCAAAACUGCCUAGCUAGAGUAUGGUAGAGGAUGGCGGAAUUUCCUGUGUAGCGGUGAAAUGCGUAGAUAUAGGAAGGAACAUCAGUGGCGAAGGCGGCCAUCUGGACCAAUACUGACGCUGAGGUGCGAAAGCGUGGGGAGCAAACAGGAUUAGAUACCCUGGUAGUCCACGCCGUAAACGAUGAGAACUAGCCGUUGGACAUCUUGCAUGUUUAGUGGCGCAGCUAACGCGAUAAGUUCUCCGCCUGGGGAGUACGGCCGCAAGGUUAAAACUCAAAUGAAUUGACGGGGGCCCGCACAAGCGGUGGAGCAUGUGGUUUAAUUCGACGCAACGCGAAGAACCUUACCUACACUUGACAUCCUCGGAACUUUCUAGAGAUAGAUUGGUGCCUUCGGGAACCGAGUGACAGGUGCUGCAUGGCUGUCGUCAGCUCGUGUCGUGAGAUGUUGGGUUAAGUCCCGUAACGAGCGCAACCCUUAUCCUUAAUUGCCAGCGGUUAGGCCGGGAACUCUAAGGAGACUGCCGAUGACAAAUCGGAGGAAGGUGGGGACGACGUCAAGUCAUCAUGGCCCUUACGUGUAGGGCUACACACGUGCUACAAUGGCCGGUACAAACGGUUGCGAACCCGCGAGGGGAAGCUAAUCCGAGAAAGCCGGUCGUAGUCCGGAUUGGGGUCUGCAACUCGACCCCAUGAAGUCGGAAUCGCUAGUAAUCGUGAAUCAGAAUGUCACGGUGAAUACGUUCCCGGGCCUUGUACACACCGCCCGUCACACCAUGGGAGUGGGUUGCACCAGAAGUGGCUAGUCUAACUUAGGAGGACGGUCACCACGGUGUGAUUCAUGACUGGGGUGAAGUCGUAACAAGGUAACCGUAGGGGAACCUGCGGUUGGAUCACCUCCUUA
rnacentral:rRNA from 1 species